UUUUUACAAUGGAGAGUUUGAUCUUGGCUCAGGAUGAACGCUAGCGGCAGGCCUAAUACAUGCAAGUCGAACGGUUUCUAGCAAUAGGAAUAGUGGCGCACGGGUGCGUAACGCGUAACCAACCUACCCGAAUCUGGGGGAUAGCCCGCCGAAAGGCGGAUUAAUACCGCAUAAAACGGCAGACCGGC
rnacentral:rRNA from 1 species